UCCCUGGCAGUCCAGUGGUUAGGACUCCACACUCUCUGUGGAGGGUCCAGGUUCAAUCCCUGGUCAGGGAA